ensembl:lncRNA
AAGUCAGCCAUGUUUGUUUAGUUCUUAGCAGAUCACAUGUGGGGAAAUUUGAUCCAGCGACAUCUGCCUUUUAUUUGUGCCAUCGACACCACCGUCUAUUGUGAAAAUACAUUGCACCUGUGGUGAGGGCGCGAUCAUGAAAACAAUGUGACAUGCCAUUGGAUGUUUGGACACAUAACGACAUGACCAUAAACAUCGGCCAAUGAAUUAGAACUGACAACCACAAGGUCGUGGGUAUGGCUGUGGAAAGCGCGGUGGAAGAGAGAGAUUGAAAGAUCAUCCACGCAGUGCUGCAAGAUUAGUGGCGUGUAUUCUCAGAUUUACUCAGUAAGUUGUAAAGGUCUAAUUGAAGCCCCCAAAAAAGGAAAGGAAGAGAUUGAAUUGCAGAUUGAAUUGCAUCCCAAGGUCAUUUGAGCACUGAAGAGAUACACAACUGCAGCAGAUCUGUUGCCUAUGGGCACUGUAUGUUCUCUCUCGCCUCUCAAAAGCAAUUAUAAAAAUC